UACGUAGGGUGCGAGCGUUAAUCGGAAUUACUGGGCGUAAAGCGUGCGCAGGCGGUUCGUUGUGUCGGCGGUGAAAGCCCCGGGCUCAACCUGGGAAUGGCCGUUGAAACUGGCGAACUGGAGUGUGGCAGAGGGGGGUGGAAUUCCGCGUGUAGCAGUGAAAUGCGUAGAGAUGCGGAGGAACACCGAUGGCGAAGGCAGCCCCCUGGGCUGACACUGACGCUCAGGCACGAAAGCGUGGGGAGCAAAUAGG
rnacentral:rRNA from 1 species